AUGGUAAUUGAAGCCAUGAAUGCACGUAUUGCUGAUCAUGUAAAGAAGGUAGGCAGGAAGUUAAUGGAAAUUGACCACAGAUUUGAUGUCAAAUACCAGACGCUAGGUGAAGAGUUGAUCGACAUGAAGACUAAAACUGGCACUAAUCCUAGGUUGUCGAAGGCCGAGGAAGACAUUAAAGACUUAAGGAGGGAACUCCAUGUAUGUCAUACUGUGCAUUUUGUAUUUUGUAUGAAUAUGUUCCUUCAUGAUCAAGUCAAUGUGUGCAAUUCAUCCCUGACAAGAACUCCUAGGGCUAGCCAAUUCACGGCAGGGACUUCGAGUACACCAAGUGCAAGACAUGUGACGGAAAACAAUGAGGAACCACAAUUAACUCCGAUGAAGCCUGUCUUUGGUAAUGAUUACAAGUUCACGGAUGAGGACAUAGAGACAGCCGUUUACAUCCACGAAACAUACGACCCUGUUGAAAUAGUUAGAAUCGGAGACAUUAGCCUCACAGCAGAAAAUCUGAUGGGAAAUUUGGACGACAAAUACAUUUAUGGUGAUGUUAUUAUGGCAUAUGCUCGCAUUAGCCAAAUUGAGAAUGAUACUACCUCAAUCAUAUCCCCUCAAGAAACUGAAAAGCUGUUACAAAUGAAGGGGGUGGUUCCUGUUGGACGUGUAGCCUCAUGGUUAGCUCGUGUAGCAGAAAAAUUUGUAGGGCGCCGAAAGGUGCAUGUCUCACUGAAUGUACACCAAAACCAUUGGAUGGCAAUAAUGUUUAAUUUUGACAAAAAAGAAAUUCAGACUCUGAACUCCAUGAAUUAUCAUUGCGACAAGACCAAGGAAGAUUCUCUUUGCUGCAUCGACGAAGCUGUCAAGAAUGGGUUGAUAUCACCAGCUAAGAACAUCAAUUUUGCCGAAUGGACCAAAAAACGCUAUGAGAACAUACCACAACAGACCGAUGGGACUUCCUGUGCGGUUUGGACACUUCAGUACAUGUUGUCAUGGAACGGGGAUGAAAUGACCGAUAUUUUUAACUAG
rnacentral:rRNA from 1 species